rnacentral:rRNA from 1 species
GAAGACACCGGCUAACGUCCGUGCCCAGCAGCCGCGGUAAUACGGAGGGUGCGAGCGUUAAUCGGAAUUACUGGGCGUAAAGACGCAUGCAGGUGGUUUGUUAAGUUCAGAUGUGAAAGCCCGGGGCGUCAACCUCGGAAUAGCAUUUGAAACUGGCAGACUAGAGUACUGUAGAGGGGGGUAGGAAUUUCAGGUGUAGCGGUGAAAUGCGUAGAGAUCUGAAGGAAUACCGGUGGCGAAGGCGGCCCCCUCGGACAGAUACUGACACUCAGAUGCGAAAGCGUGGGGAGCAAACAGGAUUAGAUACCCCUGGUAG